GACGAACGCUGGCGGCGUGCUUAACACAUGCAAGUCGAACGGAAAGGCCCUGCUUUUGUGGGGUUCUCGAGUGGCGAACGGGUGAGUAACACGUGAGUAACCUGCCCUUGACUUUGGUAUAACUUCAGGAAACUGGGGCUAAUACCGGAUAGGAUCUCCUGCUGCAUGGUGGGGGUUGGAAAGUUUCGGCUGUUGGGGAUGGACUCGCGGCUUAUCAGCUUGUUGGUGGGGUAGUGGCUUACCCAGGCUUUGAAGGGUAGCCGGCCUGAGAGGGUGACCGGCCACAUUGGGACUGAGAUACGGACCAGACUCGUACGGGAGGCAGCAGUGGGGAAUAUUGCACAAUGGGAGGAAGCCUGAUGAAGUAACGCCGCGUGCGGGAUGACGGCCUUCGGGUUGUAAACAGCUGUCGCCUGUGACGAAGCGUGAGUGACGGUAAUGGGUAAAGAAGCACCGGCUAACUACGUG
rnacentral:rRNA from 1 species